CAUCGAACCCUAGCCCCAAUCCAUAGCCCUGCGCCCCUCGCUCCUCCCUCCCUCGCCCGCCGCCGCUCCCUCCCACCACCUCCUCCUCCUCCUUCUGCGCCCUAGGAGCCCCGCUGCCGCCUGCUACUCCUCCACCGCCUCGCCUCUUCCUCCUCCCCGCCUUCCCAUCGCUUAGGUUGGCGGUUAGCGGCGGCUCGAUCCACUCCGUGGUUUCAGAUGGGCUGCCUUCCCCAUCUCUUGUCCGUGUCUGGUGCCGUCACUCGAUCUCGAUCUUGGGAGCAUGCAGGAGAGAAGCAUCGUGCCUAUUGCCAGGACGGGACAUGGGGGUGGAGGCGAGCGAGAGAGUGGGUGUUGCUGAAGAAGCUGGGGAGGCAAGACGAGGGCGGCGUGGCGUUUCGUGGCCGCGGUGGCCGGAGGGGCGGCUCCACGUCGCGGUGUAUGAGGUGCCUAGAGGAGGAUGCUGCGGCAGGUUAAACUCCUCUCCCGUUGUAGAGCAGUCCGCAGUGCCGUCACCGUCGUCCUUGCCUUCGAGCCAUCCGUGCCGCCGUCGCCGUCGCCUAGAGGAUGCCGGUAGGAAGCAGCAGCUCGCCGUUUCCUUGGUCCCCGCCGACGCCAAGCAAGAAGAGAAGGCACGUGUGCUGUAGGUGUAGCAAAUUGGACAAGCUACAUCGCUAAUGCCGGGUGUAUGGAGCUCAGGAAGGCUAUCUGCAACAAGCUUCAGGAGGAUAAUGGUCUAACCUAUAGCCCAGAUCAUGUGCUAGCGACCAAUGGGGCUAAGCAAUGCACUACACAUGCUGUUCUUGAUGUUCUCUCAUGUGGUGACGAGGUAAAUUUGAAGCCUAAGGUGCCAACAAAGGUAGUUUGUGCUGAACAUCUUGAGUUACAGAACGAGAUACUCACACAGAAAAGUAGAGAUGCACAAUAGUUUUAGCUUUUCAGGGAUUGUUCUUGUUGGGUUCAGCUUUCGCCGGCAUGUUGUUAUUACAGAGUUACCGUAUCUCUUUGAAUCGUCAUAUGUACUCCAAACUCUUAUAGAUUAUGCAACUAGCUAAUGGUUGGAACUUUUACUCAGCUUUAUUAUAGGUGGCACAAAGUCAUGUUAGUUGCCAUUUUAUUGCUACAGAUAUGUUCUUGUUCUGACUGUUUAUGUGAUGAUUAUAUCCAUGUGUAUGUAGCACAACCUCAUGUUUACACGUGGCUUGAAAUCGGCUGUACUUUUUUUGCUUUUGUUACAAGAUAUAUCAUCAAUUUCUUGUCUGGAUGUACUUUUAUUAGUUUGCUUCUAACUGCAUCUUAAUAUGUACUCGGUAGGCUCUACAGGAUUCGAUGAUGGAUGUGUGAAUGUGAGCAAUCAGGAUAUAAAUUUCUUCCAACAGCAAGGCAUGCUGAUUAGAUUCAGGAAUAUGUUCUUGCGUCUCAGCUUUGCAGCUUCACGUUGUAGGACUAAUAUUUGGUACCUGACAUGAGAUUGAGAAAUACCAUGCUUUAAUUAAUUAGUACAUACCUUGUGCAGGGCACAUAAAAUAUAUCUGAUAUCGCUUUUUUGUUAUUUAUAUUUUUAUCUUUUCUACCCUAAUUCAGUAGCACCAUUUCUUGAUGUUAUUUCUCUAUAGGAUUGUUGCUUCCACUAUAGCUUUUCCCCUCUGAAAUGAAUUUGAAUUAGGUCACUUUAGUGUCAAGGUAAAAAUUUCUUUGUUCUCGGGAAGAGCCAGUAUCCUAGGUGAUCGUUAAAUAUUAUUAAUAAUUACCAAUUAAUAAUUAUGUGCUUGACUGUUUGUUGAUGACCAAUAAUUAUGUAUUUCACUUAUAAGUAACUAUCUAAUUUGCAUGUUCCAUUUUAUUUCAGAUGUAACACAUUCUUUAUAUGUAUUAUGAUGGAUUUUAGAUAUGCUCACUUGAUAUCAUUUUUUCUCUUGACUCUAAAACAGGUAUGUACAAGCUAUUUAAGAGGGCCAAGAAGGCGGAAUAGCCUCGCUUAUACAGUUUCUGACUGCUAACAGUGCCAUCAUCAAUGAGCUUCACUCUAAAGUCUGUUCAUGGGAGGGUUGGGCUUCCUUCAAUGCUAGGGAUGAAAUUGGAGAAUAAACAAGGGGUUGACAUGCUUGUGAAGUUCUAUUAGUGCCAUCAUCAAUGAGCUUCACUCUAAAGUCUGUUCAUGGGAGGGUUGGGCUUCCUUCAAUGCUAGGGCUGAAAUUGGAGAAUAAUUAAACAAGGGGUUGACAUGCUUGUGAAGUUCUAUUAGGUUUCAGGUUCCUUUUGUUGUGAGGUGCUCCAUGGCCCUUUGCUUGGAUGCUCUGUGGUGAGGCAACAGAGAUAAUUAGCAGUCUUGUAUACUAACCAAGAGAACAUCCAUUUCAUGAUUUUGGGUAUUGGGUUCUCUUUGCUAAACCAGCUGCAGCUAGAUGAGAGAAGUAGUAAGUAAUAUCAGGACAGCGUCUCCCCGUGUUCUCGAUCCGGCGCCGCCACAUAUCAUGAUUCUGGAUUGGGCGCAGGUCAUCGCCAUAAGAGAGCCUGGCUGGUGUGGUCUUCAUGCUUGGUGUGGAGAAGCACGGGGGAUGAGUAGGACGGGCAUGGGGAAGGAGCAGCUAGGCCGGAGCUCCGGCGUUGUUCGCGUCAUGGUCGAAUGGAGCCGGCCAUCACUAUGGGCUGCUGCUCGCCGGUCGUCGUUUAUCCAAUCUCAGUUGCUCAUCUUUGGCUUCACCAUCUUCCUCCCCUGAUCAUGCAUCUAUUUUAGAUCAUAUAAUUAUGCUAUAUCAUAUAUGUUGUUUAGUUCAGACUUGUGCAUGUGCAUGCAUUGGCAUUGAUUUAGACAGAGAUAUUGCAUGAUUUGUACAUAGAAGGAGUACGGAUGAUCUAGGAAUAAAUGUUUGAAUAAAGUUAGUAGUGAGAUUUAGAUAGAGGUUA